rnacentral:rRNA from 1 species
UACAGAGGGGGCAAGCGUUGUUCGGAAUUACUGGGCGUAAAGGGCGCGUAGGCGGCCUGCUAAGUCGAACGUGAAAUCCCUGGGCUCAACCCAGGAACUGCGUCCGAUACUGGUUGGCUUGAAUCCGGGAGAGGGACGUGGAAUUCCAGGUGUAGCGGUGAAAUGCGUAGAUAUCUGGAGGAACACCGGUGGCGAAGGCGG